UACGGAGGGUGCGAGCGUUGUCCGGAAUCACUGGGCGUAAAGGGCGCGUAGGUGGCCCGUUAAGUGGCUGGUGAAAUCCCUCGGCUUAACCGGGGAACUGCGCUUGAUACUGGAUGGCUUGAGAUUGGGAGAGGGAUGCGGAAUUCCAGGUGUAGCGGUGAAAUGCGUAGAUAUCUGGAGGAACACCGGUGGCGAAGGCGGCAUCCUGGACCAACACUGACGCUGAGGAGCGAAAGCCAGGGGAGCAAACGGG
rnacentral:rRNA from 1 species